ACAACAACAUUCGGACCGUCGGUCUACCGAGCAAUAUCACCCGCUCGAUGAAAGAUCUUCUAUCUGUCGUAUACC
rnacentral:pre_miRNA from 1 species